UGGGGAAUUUUGGACAAUGGGCGAAAGCCUGAUCCAGCCAUGCCGCGUGCAGGAUGAAGGCCUUCGGGUUGUAAACUGCUUUUGUACGGAACGAAAAGUCUCUUUCUAAUAAAGAGGGAUCAUGACGGUACCGUAAGAAUAAGCACCGGCUAACUACGUGCCAGCAGCCGCGGUAAUACGUAGGGUGCAAGCGUUAAUCGGAAUUACUGGGCGUAAAGCGUGCGCAGGCGGUUAUAUAAGACAGUUGUGAAAUCCCCGGGCUCAACCUGGGAAUUGCAUCUGUGACUGUAUAGCUAGAGUACGGUAGAGGGGGAUGGAAUUCCGCGUGUAGCAGUGAAAUGCGUAGAUAUGCGGAGGAACACCGAUGGCGAAGGCAAUCCCCUGGACCUGUACUGACGCUCAUGCACGAAAGCGUGGGGAGCAAACA
rnacentral:rRNA from 1 species